CAAGUCGAACGAGUACGGACUUCGGUCCAUAUGUACGAGUGGCGAACGGGUGAGUAACACGUGAGAAACCUGCCUCGGAGACCGGGACAACCAUUGGAAACGAUGGCUAAUACCGGAUGCCCUCUAACGGUCGCAUGGCCGAUUGAGGAAAUGAUCCGUCGCUCCGGGAGGGUCUCGCGGCCUAUCAGCUUGUUGGUGAGGUAACGGCUCACCAAGGCAUCGACGGGUAGCUGGUCUGAGAGGACGAUCAGCCACACUGGGACUGAGACACGGCCCAGACUCCUACGGGAGGCAGCAGUAGGGAAUCUUGCACAAUGGGCGAAAGCCUGAUGCAGCGACGCCGCGUGGGGGAUGAAGGCCUUCGGGUUGUAAACCCCUUUCAGUAGGGACGAAAAUGACGGUACCUACAGAAGAAGCUCCGGCCAACUACGUGCCAGCAGCCGCGGUAACACGUAGGGAGCAAGCGUUGUCCGGAUUUAUUGGGCGUAAAGAGCUCGUAGGUGGUUCAGUAAGUCGGAUGUGAAAACUCAAGGCUCAACCUUGAGACGCCAUCCGAUACUGCUGUGACUUGAGUUCGGUAGAGGAGUGUGGAAUUCCUGGUGUAGCGGUGAAAUGCGCAGAUAUCAGGAGGAACACCAACAGCGAAGGCAGCACUCUGGGCCGAUACUGACACUGAGGAGCGAAAGCAUGGGGAGCAAACAGGAUUAGAUACCCUGGUAGUCCAUGCCGUAAACGUUGGGCACUAGGUGUGGGGAUUUAUCAACGAUCUCCGCGCCGUCGCUAACGCAUUAAGUGCCCCGCCUGGGGAGUACGGCCGCAAGGCUAAAACUCAAAGGA
rnacentral:rRNA from 1 species